GAGGAAGCCAAGCUACCUAGAGGACAUCAGCUCCACAUGUUGUAGGGAUGGGACACAAAUUUCCAUCCAUGCAGAGGCGGGGCUUCCAGGAGAAGAGGAAUGUCCAGUGUGCCAGCUGGCAGUCUGCCUCCGAACUUAGUGGGAUUGUGGAAUCUGAUUGCAAGAGCCGGGCACUGUAUACUGUUAAACCAUUAUUAUUGUGGAGCCUUUUAUUUUGUUUUGGAAUUUUAUGAGAAUGCAUACUACAACCUUACCUGAUACACCAU